GCUGAAAUCAUUACUUCCUUGUACACAAGUACAAUGAGUACUUGAGCCAGAUUAUUUCUCACAUCUCUCAUUUCUGAUUUGGUGGCUAACAUCACAAAGUUCUCACCCUCUCUUUUCUUUUUAUCACUCAUAUUUGGCUUGUGGCUCUUGCUCACCGAUUUGUGGAUGUCACUAAAUUUAUUUUGCUCUCUUUCUUUCUCACUUUCUAUCCUAACUUCAGAACUCUUUUGCAUAUGCUCAGCCAUGAUUUGUUGAGGUGUCAUGGGCUUAAGCACAAAAUUCCUUCCUUUCCACUUGAUAGAGAAUUGAUUUGUUCGACCACAAUGCCGUGAUGAUCGAUCAAAUUGCCAUGGCCUUCCCAGCAGCAAGUGACACACUGUCAUAGGCACAACAUCACACAAAACCUCAUCUUCAUAUUCACCAAUCUUAAAAGAAACUUUCACCCGAUGCCCAAUCUUGAUAUCUCCACUAUCAUUUAGCCAUUGGACAUGAUAUGGAUGUGGGUGUCGCAACAACUUCAGACCAAGCUUGUCACACAUAUCCUUACUUGCAAGAUUAUGGCAGCUACCUCCAUCAACGAUGACCUUGCACACCUUUCCUCCCACUUUAGCUCGGGUCUGAAAAAGAUUGUUUCUUUGUCCAUUUUCAGCAUCCUUAAGUUGUACACUCAGAACUUGAGUCACAACAAGUGCAGCACCUUAUUCAAACUCACAUUGAGUAUCCUCUUUUCCAACAACAUCUUCAUUUCCAUCAUCAAGAACAUCUUCUUACACCUCACUAGCUGAAUCAAACUCUCCAUGUUCAAUCACAAUAAUGGCACGAUUGUUUGGACAUUCUCUAACAACAUGCCCACGGCCUCCACACUUGAAGCAUUGGAUAUCUCGACUCCUAGAAGUAGAGCCAAUUGAGGUAGUAGAUGAGACCGUUGGUUUACUCUUCACACUAGAAAUGACAGCCUCUUUGCCAUUAGAAAAACUAGAAACAUUAGAGCGUAAACCACCACUCGAGUUUAUGGUGGUACCUCAAUUCACAUUGGCUCUUGGCGUAAACUUGUUACCAAUUGGGGUAACCCGCGAACUGAAUGAACUCGACUUUCUUGCCUUGGCAUCUUGCUGCAACUAAUGCUCAGCUUUGCUAGCUUGAUACACACACUGGACAAGAUUACGAUAUGACUGAAAUUCCACAAUUCGCUGAAUAUCCCGGUGUAACCCUGACAUGAACCUUGCAAUGGAUUGCUCUUCAUCUUCAAAAAUAUUAGCUCGGAUCAUGGCAUUCUCCAUCUCCUUAUAAUAUUCCUCAUCAUACCAACUUGCUUGCUUCAAAUUCUGCAAUCUAUCAAAAAGAUCACGUCAGUAAUGCCUCAGAAUAAAUCUUGCUCUCAUUGCAGCCUUCAUUUCAUCUUGGCCAUUCUCUUCUCAUUCAUUCAUCAAUUGCUCCCACCAAAUUAGAGCAUAAUCCUCAAACUCAAGUGAAGCCAUUGCCAAUUUCUUCUCUUCGGAAUAAUUAUGGAUGUGAAAUAUUUUAUCAACCUUCAACUCCCACAUAAGAUAAGCCUCUAGAUCAGAUCCACCAUCAAACUUUGGAAUGGUGAAUUUCAGCUUACCAAGCCUCUCUUCAUCAUUAUUUCUCCGCCGUGGUAUGCGACCAAAACGAUAGGGCAAAUCAUCAUUAUCAUCCUCUUCAUCUUCUCCACUGUGCACACUUGCAUCUCCACCAAAAGGAUUAAUAUUUUCAAAAUGACCCAAAAUAUUUUGAACAUCUUGUGCCAUUCGAUCUUGUCUUGCCUCCAUGUUACGCCUCAACUCAUUAAAUUGAGCCAUGGUAACACAAUCCUCCGGAUUAAUUUCAGACAUCUUCUUGCAUGGUUAGUAACACAAGUGGCAAAACAAAAUAUAUGUGGAAUUGUAAAAUAUGUGGAAACUGUCACAACCUCACCUUCUCUUACCAACCGAAGCUCUUAUGUAUUCCUUGCAAGUUACAGAAGUAUAUGUGUGGUGGAAAAAAGUGUGAUGGUUAAGCGAACAAAAGACCAAGAUGACGUAAACGAUGGUUUCUUUGUGGAGCUUGGUGGGGUAAACCUACACUAAGCAAUCUGAAAUCUAGUUGUUGUAAAGAUAAGUAACAAUUCAAACUAGAAGUUCAAUGCCUAGUGCUGAUCCAAAAGGUUUGGAAUUGUCACGUCCUGAUUUUUCGCUUUCUGUUCUUCUCGCCUAUUUGUGAAAAUUCACAUUUGGUUUAUUCGUCUAAAAUAGCUUAAUGAAAAUUUCGUUAAAUCAAAAGGUUUUAAAAUGAUUAAUUAGUUAAUUACGUUGUUCGCUUUGUGAUUCUUAAUUGCAGUUAGUUGGAUUUAAUUUGUAUUUCGGAAGUGAAGCUCAAUCCCUAAUUCAAAUUCCAUCCAAAUCCAAUAUUCCUUUUCAAAUCCUAAAUCCUUCCCAAAAAUUCCAAAUACUUUAUAUUUGGAAUUUUCUAGAGAAGUCCCUGUCUUUUUCCCUUUUUCCUUCCUCUCUUUUUCUCUAUUCUACCCUUUUGCAGUUUAGCCCUUAUUCUUCUUUCUUUUUUUCUUUUUCCCCCACCUUCUUCUACCUCCAGCUCUCUCUCUCCUUCUUGAGCUGCAGGCCUGGGGAAGCCAAGCCCCAAGCCCACGUGCCGCCCCGGCCCGGCCUUCUCCUCCUCUCUGUGUCGCCGGCCCAAGCCGCCGCCGACCGAGCCCGCGCCGGCCGCGCCACCAAAUCCCGCAAGCCGCGCCGCCAAAUUCGGAGCUGCCGCCUUUCCAAAGCUUGCGCCGUGCGCCCUAACCCUAGUUACUCCUUCCUCUAUAAAUACCGUCGGCCACCGCCCCUUUUCCCCCCUUUUUCAAAGCCGCCGCCAUCUCCACCGUGAGCAGCCGCCGCCGCCGUUGCUCCGUGCCGCCGCCGGGAGCCGCGCUGUCGUCGUCACCAUCUUCCUACCAUACCGCAGCCGCUGACGUUGGAGCGGAAGAGCAGUUUGCUUCAGAAGACGCUGUGCAAGGACAGUAUUGGGAUCAAG